CUACGGGCGGCUCCAGUGAGGAAUAUUGCACAAUGGGGGGAACCCUGAUGCAGCAACGCCGCGUGGAGGAUAACGCAUUUCGGUGUGUAAACUCCUUUUAUAUGUCAAGAAAAUGACGGUAGCAUAUGAAUAAGCACCGGCUAACUCCGUGCCAGCAGCCGCGGUAAUACGGAGGGUGCAAGCGGUACUCGGAAUCACUGGGCGUAAAGGACGCGUAGGCGGGUUGGAAAGUCAGGUGUGAAAUCCUACAGCUUAACUGUAGAACUGCACUUGAAACUUCUAAUCUAGAGUAUGGGAGGGGGAGAUGGAAUUAGUGGUGUAGGGGUAAAAUCCGUAGAUAUCACUAGGAAUACCUAAAGCGAAGGCGAUCUCCUGGAACAUUACUGACGCUAAGGCGUGAAAGCGUGGGGAGCAAACAGGAUUAGAUACCCCCGUAGUC
rnacentral:rRNA from 1 species